rnacentral:rRNA from 1 species
AACGAACGCUGGCGGCAGGCUUAACACAUGCAAGUCGAACGCCCUCUUCGGAGGGAGUGGCAGACGGGUGAGUAACGCGUGGGGAACCUACCCUUUCUACGGAAUAGCCUCGGGAAACUGGGAUUAAUACCGUAUACGCCUUUGGGGGAAAGAUUUAUCGGUGAAGGAUGGGCCCGCGUUGGAUUAGCUAGUUGGUGGGGUAAUGGCCUAUCAAGGCGACGAUCUAUAGCUGGUCUGAGAGGAUGAUCAGCCACACUGGGACUGAGACACGGCCCAGACUCCUACGGGAGGCAGCAGUGGGGAAUAUUGGACAAUGGGCGCAAGCCUGAUCCAGCCAUGCCGCGUGAGUGUUGAAGGCCCUAGGGUUGUAAAGCUCUUUCAGUGGUGAAGAUAAUGACGGUAACCACAGAAGAAGCCCCGGCUAACUUCGUG